CUCAGUCAGUCUGCAAUUUUUAGCCAUUUGUUCCUGCUUAGAUCCUGUUUUCGUGUUAUGCCUGAUUUCCCUUGCCUGGCACGGUUUUCCUCUCCGCUACAGUCCUGCCCGCUCUGACUUAGGCCCGUCUCCAGUCCCACGUCUCGGUCCUGCUACUCUGUCCUGGACCCCCCCACUCCACAGUGUCCUUGGAUUUGAUGAGUUGGUGUCAAGGGAUGAGCCGGAUGGACUGGAGGAGCUCAUCUCCCUCGCCACCACAUUGACUACCGUCUCCGUGAGCGUCGGAGGGAGAGGGCAGGUGUGCUGGAGGCAGCGCUGAUCCCCACCAGCUGCAACCUGUUCCAUAAUCAAGACCUCUACAAAUACUCAACCAAGCCACUUCCACGCUGCCAGAUUGUAGCCUCUUCUCAUUCUGCCCACUCUGUCUUUGGCCCCUGUCUCCAGUCCCAUGCACCCCCCCAUUCCACAGUCCCAUGCACCCCCCCACUCCACAGCGUCCUUGGAUUCCUCUCUGGACCUGCUUACCCAAUACCAACCAGCCUCAGCCUCCGCACCUGGCUUCCUGCAACCCGCCCGAGCUUCCCCUGGCCUGCACCCCAUGUUCCCCCUGUGUUUCAAGAAAUACCUUGGUUACCUCAUCCCAGUCUCCUCGUCUGAGUCUGCUCUUGGGUUCACCUGCUCCGCACCACGUGACAUUUUUACUAUUUUCUACACUGUAGAAUUAAUAGUGAAGACAUCAAAACUAUGAAGUAACACAUGUGGAAUCAUGUAAUAAUCAAAGUGUUAAACAAAUCCAAAUAUAUUUUAGGUUCCUCAAAGUAGCUACCCUUUGCCUUGAUGACAGCUUUCCAGCAAUGGACUGUCGUUUCGCUUUGUUAUUUGAGCUGUUCUUGCCAUAACAUGGGUCAAGCGCAUUAAGGAAAGAAAUUCCACAAAUUUACUUUUGACAAGGCACACUACCUCAUGAAGCUGGUUGAGAGAAUGCCAAGAGUGUGCAAAGCUGUCAAGGCAAAGGGUGGCUACUUUGAAGAAUCUGAAAUGGUACACAGCAUUGUAUGAGAUCUUCAGUUUCUUGGCAAUUUCUCGCAUGGAAUAGCCUUCAUUUCUCAGAAGAGGAGACGAGUUUCAGAAGAAAUACAAUUCUGGCCAUUUUGAGCCUGUAAUCGAACCCACAAAUGCUGAUGCUCCAGAUACUCAACUAGUCUAAAGAAUGAAUUUUAUUGCUUCUUUAAUCAGAACGGUUUAACUGUGUUAACAUAAUUGCAAAAUAGUUUUCUGAUGAUCAAUUAGCCUUUUAAAAUGAUAAACUUGGAUUAACAACGUGCCAUUGAAACACAGUGAUUGUUGCUGAUAAUGGGCCUCUGUACGCCUACGUAGAUAUUCCAUUAAAAAAGAUCCUGUUUCCAGCUACAAUGGUCAUUUACAACAUUAACAAUGUCUACACUGUAUUUUUGAUACAUUUGAUGCUAUUUUAAUGGACAAAAAAUGAGCUUUUUAAAAAAACAAGGACAUUUCUAAGUGACCCCAAACGUUUGAAUGGUUGUGUGUGUAUAUAUGAGGCAUAUCUGCUUUGCUAACAAUAGGAGUUGAGUGUAGAAUAAGUGGACCAUGUGAACUACUAGGGAGCGCUGAGGGCAUGAGAACCGGCCAGUGUGUCUCUGAGGAUUAACUACAUCUAACCUGUCAGAUUCUAGAAAGAUUCUUGGAUUAUGGCUUUAUGGGUAUCCAAUUAUUGCAGGACCUGAAGCAACCUCUGGGUGUGAAGAGCACUCCAGUCAAUGACUGUGUACUAAGGGUCAGUCAGAGUUUCGACAAGAGGCCUCUUUGGGCAAAGACCAGUUAACAUGAGGCUGUGAGAACCAGUUAGAAGAAGAUGUCUGCCACCACUGUUUGCAAUGGAUAUUAAGGGCUGGAAACUGUAGGCGUGUUGCCGGCAUUUCCAGUAAAUGUUGUGAAUAUCCAGUGAUA